rnacentral:rRNA from 1 species
GACGAACGCUGGCGGCGUGCCUAAUACAUGCAAGUAGAACGCUGAAGGAGGAGCUUGCUUCUCUGGAUGAGUUGCGAACGGGUGAGUAACGCGUAGGUAACCUGCCUGGUAGCGGGGGAUAACUAUUGGAAACGAUAGCUAAUACCGCAUAAUAGCAGUUAUUGCAUGAUAACUGUUUGAAAGGUGCAAUUGCACCACUACCAGAUGGACCUGCGUUGUAUUAGCUAGUUGGUGGGGUAACGGCUCACCAAGGCGACGAUACAUAGCCGACCUGAGAGGGUGAUCGGCCACACUGGGACUGAGACACGGCCCAGACUCCUACGGGAGGCAGCAGUAGGGAAUCUUCGGCAAUUGACGGAAGUCUGACCGAGCAACGCCGCGUGAGUGAAGAAGGUUUUCGGAUCGUAAAGCUCUGUUGUAAGAGAAGAACGAGUGUGAGAGUGGAAAGUUCACACUGUGACGGUAUCUUACCAGAAAGGGACGGCUAACUACGUG